AUGAAGCUUACUACAAAGGAAGAAGAAAAUUCAGAAUAACCAGGAUGAGGGCCAGAGGACAAAGUUUGGAAAAGUUCUUUAGUCAAAACAGACUUCUCAGGGCACAACCAAAUGCCCUAGGCGCCAGGACAGGGACCACAAAUCCCUUCAUUGUGAUGGUUUUCAUGUUCACAUUCCUGUACCCACCUAAGGAAACAAAAAAGUAGGGAAAUGCCAGAGCUGAAACAAAAGCAGGCUUACCGUGGGCCAUCUUGCAGCUGUUACCAUGGCCUUGUGCAAAGGAACCGGUAGACAGCACUCCCCAUCCUCACGACUGUGGACCCUUUCUGGGAAGAGCCUUUCCCUGAGGCCCAAGUGAUAAGAAGACAGAUCGCCUGGGUCCUAUGGCCUGAACUUCCC